rnacentral:rRNA from 1 species
ACGGAAGGCAGCAGUGGGGAAUAUUGCACAAUGGGCGAAAGCCUGAUGCAGCGACGCCGCGUGAGUGAAGAAGUAUUUCGGUAUGUAAAGCUCUAUCAGCAGGGAAGAAAAAUGACGGUACCUGACUAAGAAGCACCGGCUAAAUACGUGCCAGCAGCCGCGGUAAUACGUAUGGUGCAAGCGUUAUCCGGAUUUACUGGGUGUAAAGGGAGCGCAGGCGGUACGGCAAGUCUGAUGUGAAAGCCCGGGGCUCAACCCCGGUACUGCAUUGGAAACUGUCGAACUAGAAUGUCGGAGGGGUAAGCGGAAUUCCUAGUGUAGCGGUGAAAUGCGUAGAUAUUAGGAGGAACACCAGUGGCGAAGGCGGCUUACUGGACGAUAACUGACGCUGAGGCUCGAAAGCGUGGGGAGCAAACAGGAUUAGAUACCCUGGUA